CUCCAGACCUCCAGUAUCAAGAUAUCAUUACGGACCAUCUACACAAGCCGUGUCUAUUGAAAUGACAGCAUAUGGUUCGCUUGCGUUCGUUGAGUCAGGAAAUAUCAUAUAGUCGUUAUUGGUACAACGUUGGUUAAUUGGUCAAAGAAACGCAUAUGGAGGUUUUAUUUCUACACAGGACACCGUUAUUGCUUUGGAAGCUUUUCCUCAAAUCGGUGCUAAAACAGAUGCUGGUGAUCCAAACAUGACGAUAAUGUUCUCAUAUAUAGACACAAAACUGCGAAAAAAGAAAUUUAAUGUCAACACAAGAAAUGCAAUGAAUAUGCAGUUUGUUGAUAUCUCGAUCGAUACAAAGACAAUAAGCAUUCAUGCUUGGGGAAUAAAAGGGUCCACAGAUAUACUUACGGUGCGUAUCCAAAUGAUGAAACUUCG